ACUCUAUAGCUUGUUUUAAAUCUUAUGAGAAAGUAUUUUUUCGAGUGCCAUUAUUCAGCUCAGUUAACUAUUCGAAGUUAAAACUAACUUAUAUGUUGAGUUUGAUAAAAAUGAAUCAAUUGAGACUUCGAUUUUUCUUUUUGUUGUUCAUUGGCUCAUUACCGAUUAUGAUAACAUUGUAUUCAGACUGGAAAAACUGGCAAGCGGAAUCGAAAUCAGAAACUGCAGCCGAGCUCUACGAACGACAAUCACGCUCGAAACUUGUACAUUUAAGUCCAGCAGAGCAAAACGACCACAAGAUCCCAGAAAAACAGCAUGAAAAUGAAAACAGACCCCAAAUAUUUCAUUCGGCGGAACACGACAGCAAUUUGCAGAGACAAGAAGUUAGAGUAAAUAAUCACGAAGGAAAACUGGUUUUAUUUUUCUGGCGGGCUAUUUGCGAUGAACGAAAAGGAUUUUUGAAAAAAGUGGUGGUGUUAGCCUACACACAAAACGGAACAGCGCCUGCUAUGUCUGUCCGAAAGGAAGUUGGUCGAGAUCUGCGGUGUAUCGAUCAAAAGCAGACAACUUUUGCAACUUCUAAAACCAAGAAAACAAAUCUGGCUCGAGUUUUUACACUUAGAUCAGGAUUUUUCAUUAUCUGUUUGUUCGAGCCGGCCUCAAAUUGUCCGACGGUUGUUUCAGUUCAGUUUGAAAAUCAAACAGUCACCAAUAAGGUUCACGUCGAGCGUCAGCUGCACUCAAAAACUGGCUCACCGAGGACCUCAAUCACCGUUUGCUUGCCAGCAGUGACCGAUUAUUUUGAUGCGUUAAGGCCAAGUAGAUUGGUCGAAUUCUUUGAGUACCAAAAAUUAGCUGGCGUGAAAAGGGUUUCAAUGGGCGAACUCGACGAAAGAAUCUAUCCUUUUUCUUUCGACCCGAGUUCUCGGAAAGUUCUUAAGCAUUACAAAGAUAUUGGGUUUCUAGAGAUGCAUCCAAUGUCUGUUUACUCCAACAACAAUUCUAACUUGUACAGAAUAGCCGCAGAUUCAAAACCAAUUCAAUAUACGUACUGCAUUUUAAAAUACGCAUUGGUCACUGAUUACGUGACAGUUCAAGACUUGGACGAAAUUGUUGCUUUUAACGCCAAUUUCUACCGAAAUAUUCCAGCAGCUAUAUCAGCAGGCAUAGAUAAAAAACAUCGUUAUUAUAGCUUUAAACUGUACGAUCAACCUGUCAAUCGUAGAUGUAAUUUCACAAGAGAUUUUGAAAACAACACGAAUUUUAUAAUAUCGCGAUCAGUUUUGUUCUCCAGUUGGAACUACAACCCUGGAAAAACUAUUCAUUCCAGUCAAGUAUGCCUCAUACCCGAAUGGCAUAGGUGUGCUGUCUACAAAACACACCCGUAUUUACUACCCAAAAAACGAAUGAAAAAAGCUGAUUUUCAUAAAAUCCUCAGCUGGAAAGAUAAAGAAGGAACAAAUUUGAUGAGGAGUCUUCAUUAUAGAAUUCCAAAAAUGAACGGACUUGAACCCCCGAGGAAGGAAGCAGCGUGUGCAAAAAACCAGACAAGAGAGCUCCAUUGGCUGGACAGAAUAUCUUCAAAACUAUUUAAAAAUACUUUACAAGUUUUAUCCGACUUGAUUCUUUGACUGAAACAUAAAUGAGCAGGCGAUGAUUUAUUUUCAAGA